AAACUUCGGGAUAAGGUGUGCCGACGGUAGGUGAUGUGCCUGCGCACAAAGCCCAAGUCGGUUGCAGUGAAACGGGGGUAGCGACUGUUUACCAAAAACACAGCACUCUGCAAACUCGUAAGAGGAUGUAUAGGGUGUGAUGCCUGCCCGGUGCCGGAAGGUUAAGAGGAGGAGUCAGCCGCAAGGCAAAGCCCCGAAUCGAAGCCCCGGUAAACGGCGGCCGUAACGAUAACGGUCCUAAGGUAGCGAAAUUCCUUGUCGGGUAAGUUCCGACCUGCACGAAUGGCAUAACGACUUCCCCACUGUCUCGGAGAGGCCCUCAGCGAAGUAGCACUAGGGGUGAAGAUACCCUUUACCCGCGGCAGGACGGAAAGACCCCGUGAACCUUUACUGUAACUUGGCACUGAUUUUCGGGUUAGCUUGCGUAGGAUAGGUGGGAGGCUAUGAAGCCGGGAUUCCGGUCUCGGCAGAGCCAACCUUGAAAUACCACCCUGGCUAACCUAAAAAUCUAACUCGCUUCCGUAAUCCGGAAGGAGGACAAUGCCUGGUGGGCAGUUUGACUGGGGCGGUCGCCACCCAAAAAGUAACGGAGGCGCGCGAAGGUUCCCUCAGCCUGAUUGGAAACCAGGCGCAGAGUGUAAUGGCAUAAGGGAGCUUGACUGCGAGACAAACAAGUCGAGCAGGUGCGAAAGCAGGUCAUAGUGAUCCGGUGGUCCUGUAUGGAAAGGCCAUCGCUCAACGGAUAAAAGGUACUCCGGGGAUAACAGGCUUAUCACGCCCAAGAGUUCACAUCGACGGCGUGGUUUGGCAUCUCGAUGUCGGCUCAUCGCAUCCUGGGGCUGAAGUAGGUCCCAAGGGUUCGGCUGUUCGCCGAUUAAAGCGGUACGCGAGCUGGGUUCAAAACGUCGUGAGACAGUUUGGUCCCUAUCCGCCGUGGGCGCAGGAGACUUGAGAGGAGCUAACCUUAGUACGAGAGGACCGGGUUGGACUGACCUCUAGUGUUCCGGUUGUGGCACCAGCCGCAUCGCCGGGUAGCUACGUCGGGAAUGGAUAACCGCUGAAAGCAUCUAAGCGGGAAGCCAACCUCAAGAUUAGGUCUCCCAGGUCGUAAGACCCUAAAGGCCCCUCGUAGACCACGAGGUAAUAGGCUGGGUGUGGAAGCGUAGUAAUACGUGAAGCUGACCAGUACUAAUCGGCCGUGCGGCUUGACCAC
rnacentral:rRNA from 1 species